rnacentral:rRNA from 1 species
AACGCGAAGAACCUUACCAAGGUUUGACAUGCAGGGAAAAGCCGUAGAGAUACGGUGUCCGUAAGGGUCCUGCACAGGUGGUGCAUGGCUGUCGUCAGCUCGUGUCGUGAGAUGUUGGGUUAAGUCCCGCAACGAGCGCAACCCUCGUCCUAUGUUGCCAGCGGGUAAUGCCGGGGACUCAUAGGAGACUGCCGGGGUCAACUCGGAGGAAGGUGGGGAUGACGUCAAGUCAUCAUGCCCCUUAAGUCUUGGGCUGCAAACAUGCUACAAUGGCCGGUACAGAGGGCUGCGAGACCGCAAGGUGGAGCGAAUCUCAAAAAGCCGGUCUCAGUUCGGAUUGGGGUCUGCAACUCGACCCCAUGAAGUCGGAGUCGCUAGUAAUCGCGAAUCAGCAACGUCGCGGUGAAUACGUUCCCGGGCCUUGUACACACCGCAUAC